CUUUUAUCCCCAAAUUUCCCCCCUAAAAUCGGCAUCCUAAAAAAAAAAGUGUUUUUUCCCUGUUUUCCUAAUCCUCUUUUUUAAAAUGAAAAAUAAAAAAAAAAUCUUUUCCUUCUCUUUAAUUUACUUUGGUUGAUAUAAUUUUCAGCUAGUUGUUUCUUUUCUUUCUCUGUUUGAUUACCGAGAAAUUACUUUUUUUCCUCUCUGUAAACAAACGGGAUUUUGGAUUUUGGAUUCGCAUUAGCCGUUUAAUUGAUUGGGUUGGAGCUGAAAAUGAAACCCUACCUUAUUGGCUGUCCAACACCUUAGCACUUUUGAUUCUGCUGCAGAAAAAUUUGCGAUCAAAUGGCUUUUUGUCUACUGGCACUCAACGCUCUGGGGGAAACACUGGUUUUCUUGGGAGAGUUUCUUAUUUCCAACUUGAGGGUGCAAUUGAUAAGGAAGACUUUGAAGAAGCUGCAAAGUUAAAGUUGGCUAUUGCAGAGGUUUCUUCAAAAGACAGUGUAGCUGAAAUCAUGUCUCAGUUGAAGUGCCAUAGAUGAAGAGCGGUACCAUGAUGCUUCACGGUUGUCUAGACUUACAGGAAGUGGACUGGCCUCUAUGUUGGUGCAUUUGGCCCUUAUGGAACUGAAAUAGUUCAGCUAAGGCGUAAAUAUGGUCGCUGGAGUGAUGCAGAUGAUGAAUCUUCAGAUGUUGAGUUCUUUGAAUAUGUUGAAGCUGUGAAGCUAACCGGAGAUCUCAAUGUUCCGGCUGGCCAGGUUACUCUUCGUGCCAAAAUUGGAAGGGAAAGCCGGCUCUCAAACCGUGGGUUGUAUCCAGAUGAGUUAGGAGUGGUUGCAUGUUACAAAGGUCAGGGAAGAAUAGCAGAAUUUGGUUUCCGUAACCUGCGAUGGGUCGAUGGCGAACUUCUCCAACUUAAUGGCAAGGGCAAUAUUGGACCCUAUGUCAAAGGAGCUGAUCUAGGUUUCCUUUACAUUGUGCUCGAGCAAAGUUUCCUUGUGCUACACAACCGUUUAAUAUAUAAAUAUAUUUGUAUAAAGUAUUUUAAUUUUUUUACUAAUUUAAAUAAAUUUUUUUAUUUUUAUAUUUGUAAAAGAAAUUAGUUAUAAAAUAAAAAAUUAAAUUUAGUUUGGUUUA